rnacentral:rRNA from 1 species
CAGCCGCCGCGGUAAUACGAAGGGGGCUAGCGUUGCUCGGAAUCACUGGGCGUAGAGGGUGCGUAGGCGGGUCUUUAAGUCAGAGGUGAAAUCCUGGAGCUCAACUCCAGAACUGCCUUUGAUACUGAGGAUCUUGAGUUCGGGAGAGGUGAGUGGAACUGCGAGUGUAGAGGUGAAAUUCGUAGAUAUUCGCAAGAACACCAGUGGCGAAGGCGGCUCACUGGCCCGAUACUGACGCUGAGGCACGAAAGCGUGGGGAGCAAACAGGAUUAGAUACCCGGGUAGUCCCUGUCUCUUAUAC